GGGAGGUAGUGACAAUAAAUAACAAUACGGGGUCCUUUCGGGUUUCGUAAUUGGAAUGAGUACAAUUUAAAUCUCUUAACGAGGAACAAUUGGAGGGCAAGUCUGGUGCCAGCAGCCGCGGUAAUUCCAGCUCCAAUAGCGUAUAUUAAAGUUGUUGCAGUUAAAAAGCUCGUAGUUGAAUUUCGGAAUCAGUGCGUUGGUCGUGCCUCUGGUAUGCACUGGUGUUACUGAUUUCUCCCUUCUGAAGAACUAUCAUGCCAUUAAUUUGGUGUGGUAGGGAAUCAGGACUGUUACUUUGAAAAAUUAGAGUGUUUAAAGCAGGCUCACGCUUGAAUACAUUAGCAUGGAAUAAUGAAAUAGGACGUUGAUCUUAUUUUGUUGGUUUCUAGGAUUGACGUAAUGAUUAAUAGGGAUAGUUGGG
rnacentral:rRNA from 1 species